CCUACGGGAGGCUGCAGUGGGGAAUUUUGCGCAAUGGGCGAAAGCCUGACGCAGCAACGCCGCGUGGGUGAUGAAGGUCUUCGGAUCGUAAAACCCUGUCGUCAGGGACGAAGGUUGCAUGUCGAAUAGAUGUGCAGCUUGACGGUACCUGGAGAGGAAGCCCCGGCUAACUCUGUGCCAGCAGCCGCGGUAAUACAGAGGGGGCAUACGUUGUUCGGAGUUAUUGGGGGCGAAGGUGUAAGUGAGAUGUGUAAUCCCCGAGCUUAACUUGGGAACUGCAUCUCAGACUGUGUCGCUAGAGUACUGGAGAGGGUGGUAGAAUUCCACGUGUAGCGGUGAAAUGCGUAGAGAUGUGGAGGAAUACCAGUGGCGAAGGCGGCCACCUGGACAGUAACUGACGCUGAGGCGCGAAAGUGUGGGGAGCAAACAGGAUUAGAUACCCCAGUAGUC
rnacentral:rRNA from 1 species